rnacentral:tRNA from 1 species
GGGGAUAUAGCUCAGUUGGGAGAGCGCUACGUUGACAUCGUAGAGGUCACUGGUUCGAGCCCAGUUAUUCCCA